GGCGCCGUUCUAGGUCCCAGGGGAUGGGGGAAUGUAAAGAUGGCCCCUGCCUCAAAGCACUUAAAGCACUUUCACAACAUCCCAUCUUUCAGACUGAGAGUUUGAAUCCAAAGCAAGGAAGAAAAAGUCACGUCACCUGGAGCGCUGUAAACGCCCCACCCCUUUGGUUCUUUACAAGCAGGAUUCACACAUCUCUUCCCGUGAGAAUUCCUGUCGUCACCCCAGUGAGGCUGGAGGCCGCUGAGAGUUUUCAGAGGAAGAAGCAGAGGGUACGGGCCAUUACGAUUUGCCCAGGUUUCCCAGAUGAGAGCUUACGUUCCAGCUGGGGCCGUAAGGUCAUUACCGUGAGUUGAGUAAGAGGUUAACUACACGCCAACAGUCUCGUCCUUCCUGAACCUCGCAAGAGAGCUACUUACUUUGGGGACAUGUAAAAGGACAGAACACACGUGGGAAGACAGAGCACAGAUUGAAACUUGAGAACUGCAGGAGGAGGCUCAAGCUCAGGCUCGCACAAGCUCGCAACGGAAGGGGCUCAGGAGAGGAAAUCAAAAGGAAGAGUAAGGAUAACAAGAGGCCAGUUGCUGAGAGACCUGUAAACGGGUCUGAUCUGCAGAAGAUGACCAGGAGCCGCCCAUUACACCACAUAUCCCCAGCCCCAGUCUGUGGUCCGGACACCGCAGAUCAGAACCACGCCCACACCUAGCAGUGGCCGGGGCAGCCGGGGCCGCCCUCAUGACCACAGCAAAUAGCGACAAUUGUCGGCAAAGAAGGGAAUAAACUCCGAGGUGUUCUGUGGUUCCAAGCACCGCUAACUAUCCUCUAGCCUCCCUCGUGCUCCUAACAAUCCGCUGGGCACACGGGAGGGGAAAACAAGAACGUAAGACUCAGCCACUUGCCUGGAGGAGCAGUAGCGUCCUUUACGUUGGGAGGAGUGCGACGCGAUGACGCAAGAAGAGAAAUCAGAGCAUGUGUCCCCUGCUGGUCUUGAGGCUGCGGGAGGUCAGGAGUGAGCUGUGUGGGCCAGAGGGCAGAGUGAGUGUCAUGGAAAAUGUGACUGAGUCUGGAGACAGUUGUAAUUUCAAAAGGCUGUGGACUAGGGGAACAUUCCUGGGAAGGCAAGAAUGGGCUUCCAGAGGUUCUGGCGAGCAGGAAGAGGUCGGCGAGAUGGUUGUCUACUUCUGCGCUGGGCUCUGCCCUCGCUAGCUCGUGCUUGCGUUUCUUCGAUCAAAUGCGAUGCUCAAUUAUGAUAAGAAAUAGUUUAAAUUAGGAAGCGUCACGAUCAUCUACUUCAUAGGGUUGUCGUUGUAAGGGUUAAGUGAGUUACUGCGCGGAACGAGCUUGUUUAAAGUGGCAGGUUUAGGGGCGCCUGGGUGGCGCAGUCGGUUAAGCGUCCGACUUCAGCCAGGUCACGAUCUCGCGGUCCGGGAGUUCGAGCCCCGCGUCGGGCUCUGGGC